rnacentral:lncRNA from 1 species
CACGAAUUAUAGGCAAAAUUUGUAAUGAAGAGUGGUGUCUGAAUUUGUUGUGCAACGUUUUGAAGGAAAAAAACACUAAAAAUUAUAGUGAUAUAAUUAGGAGACAAAUUUACAUCAAAGUACGAAUCCAUUCAAUAUAGUCAAGAAACUUCGUAUUACAAAUACAGGUUUCCUGUUUGACGUGCACGAUGAUGACAAAGUCUUUGCCACUCCCUACUUCCAAUAUAAUGACGAAAAUGUCAUUACAAGAUUAUCAAACUACUUUUUAAUAAGCAUACAAAUGAUUAUAUAUAUAAGAAAAUUCACAUAUGUAUCAUGACAACAUCAUUAUAGUAAUCCUCGAUAUAAGAUGCUCCAAAAAUAUCUUUCCUAUAGAGAUGAAAGAUGUUAGCUUUUAUUUAAAAUAGGUGGACGUAAUUCUUAUGAACAUCAAUCUUGACUAGAUACAAGGUCUUGUAUGAAAGCUUACACGUUUAUGAAAUAACCGACAUCUGAAUUGCACUUUACUUUAGCACCCUUAGGAACAAGAGAUCUAAAAUUAUCUAAAUGCAAAAUUGAUGUCAACCUACCAGCUGAAUAUUUAAAACUUGAAGUAUUUAUAACUUGUAGUAUUCAUACGCAGAUUUUUCUGUCUAGAUGUUCGGCUCGUGGGUUGACAUCAAUUUUGCAUUGCGAUAACUUUAGAUCUCUUGUUCCUAAGGGCGUUAAAGUAAAGUGCAUUUCAAAUGCCGGUUAUUUCAUAAAUGUGUAAAUUUUCAUACAUGGUCUUGUAUCUAGAAAAAAAUUGAUGUCCUUAAGAAUUACAUCUAUCUAUUUUAAAUAAAGCUAACAUCUUUUAUCCUCUUCUAUAGGAAAAAUAUUAUUGGAGCAUCUUAUAUCGAUGAUUACUACAACGAUGUGGUCAUGACAAAUGUAUUAAUUUUCUUAUAUAUAUAUAUAUAAUUGUUUGUAUGCUUAUUAAUUAGUAGUUUUGAUAAUCUUAUAAUAUUAUUUUCGUCAUUAAAUUGGAUACAGAGAGCGAAAAAAAAUUGCCAUCAUCGUGUACAUAAAAAGAAAACCUGGAUUGGUAAUACGAAUUUCUUUGAUUAGAUUGAAUGGAUUCGCACUUUGACACAAACUUGUCUCCUAAUUAUAUUACUGUAAUAUUUAGUGUCUUUUUCCUCAAAACAUUGCACAACAAAUUCAGACAUCGCUCUUCAUUACAAAUUCUGCCUAUGAUUCAUUGUAGGUUAGUAUGUAUCGAAUCUCAAUAACAUAAGCACUUUUAUUGUUAUAUCUUGUCUUUUUCAAUCAACUGAUUUUAUUGUCUUAAUUCUUUUCAUAGAGUAAAUUUUUCCAUAUAAGUAACAUUUUGGCUCCUUAUGUUUCGGAUCCAAAUCGCACUUGGCUCAAUUGCAAGAAAAAUAUUAGCAAUUGUUCCUCAAGUACGUUCCAAACCAUUCAAAAUAUGAUAAAUUGUUUAUCUAAAUGUUUCAACCUGUGUUUUACUUGCAAACAAUAUGAUGUUUCUAUUCAAUAUGGUUUUUAGAUUUCAAAUUGGAAUCCAUAAAUGCAUUGAAGGGAAUUGGUGUCUCUAUAUCAAGAGGAUACUACAUGAAUUCCUACUAUAUACACUGCCAAACUGAAGGUUCUUUCAUAUUGGCCCCUUUGAGCAAAAACGAAUUAACAAAAUAAUAUUUUUUAUGCAGACAAUUGCAAACUAGUUGGAGACUGGUUUUACAAUCAAUGUCAAUUUCAAGAGACUGUUCGUCCUUAUCCUUGUAACAAAAGUUGUCCAACUCAAUUGUUUAAUUGAGAUAAUUUAAUAAGUACCAUGUUAUAAAAGAAAAAAAUUGAAAAUUAUUGUGUUGUUAAAUUGAAGGAGUGAUUCAUUUGUAGCUUUAUUGGUGUACGUGAAAUCUUAUUCAUUACACUAUUAGUUUCUACUUUGUCCAUUCUCAUUCCAAGUUGUGUGUUGAUUGAUAAUUAGCUAUGAGCUUAAAUAUGUUGUCCUUGAUAUGUUUGGUAAAUUGUAGUACAAAAUAAUUGAUAUUAUUAGAGUUGGUAUUAAAUAAACAGUGAAAUUAAAAUAAAUUUUAAUACGCAAAAGACGAGAUUCCUUUUGUAACGUCGCACUCUUCUUUUCUUGAAUUUACAUAUAUGUAUGAUGUGAAAUGUUAAUUUAUUGUCUUUGUGAAUAACCAUGUUUUGUAAUGGAGUGUACCUUGGAUGCCUUAUGAUCGACGUGCCAAUUAAAGUUAAUUAUAAUGCAAUUCAAUUGAACAUAUAACACAUAAUAUGAUAUUUUAUAAUAAGCUUGUGAUGUUAUAAUUUGUUAUUAAAUAAAUUAAACAUAGGCUUGAUCUUAACAUUUAUAUAUUUUUCGUUUGAUUGAUUUUGUAUUUGGACAGUAAAAAAGAAUGGAAUCAGCCCAAUAUUCAAUGUAAUGAAUUUGGUAAUUAGGUAAUUAGCACAAUUUUGACUCCGAUAAUUAAUUAAUUAGUGCAAUCUUAUCAUUAAAUAAAGGACCUAAAAUUUGAAAGAAACCUUACGCAUUCCUUUACUAAAAUUGAUUUCCCUGUUUCUUGUAAUUGCAAGGAUAUUUCAACACACGAAGAAAAUAUAUAACAAAUUUCUUUCCACCCACUUCUGAUUUACGUUCUUGGAAUUCUUGGAUGUCAUUUCAAGCCUCUUCUUAAGGUACUAAAUUUAUUUUGAAAUGAUUUUGGUGAUUCAUGUUUAGGGAUGGUAGUGGGGUGGGUUCCCCGCCCCGCGACGCCCCACCCACGCCCUGCGACACACGACCCGCCCCGCCUCAAACAGGGUAGGGCGAGGCCACGCCCCAUUUGUCUCCCCGUUUAAUUUUUUUUUAACAUUUUAAAAUUUCAAAUUAUGUUAUUAUUAGAGAAUAAAAUAUAAAUUCAAAAUUUUAAAAUUCAAAGUAAACACUUGAAAUAAACAAUGUUAAAAAUUAAACAAUUUCAAAUAAAAUUACAUUUUGACUAAAUUUUAU